rnacentral:lncRNA from 1 species
AUAUUUUAAGUACUUUAAAAUAUGUAAUGUAUAUAGUUUUCAAAAGUCUUCAGGUAUUGGAGAUAUUGGCAGUUAAAAGACUUAUUCAAGGAAGGUUUAUAUUUUGUCUCACAUAUUGAGACUAAUUAAAUAUCGAAAGCAUCACAUUUUCACAAGAGAAAAUAUCAGUGACAAUGAAGGAACUCCAAUAGCCCGACGAUGGACUGCUAGAUUUGAAAAACAUUUCAUAUGUAACGUUAUGUUAGACUUUAAUAAGUAAAAGAACAAAUAUAUACAACAUGUGUGCAAUUUCCCAAGAAACAUAAUCUAAUAAUAAUGAAAUAAAACUCAUAAAUCCAUACAUA